AUUUGACGAUGAGUGCAACCCUGAUCCAGCCAUGCCGCGUGUGUGAAGAAGGACUUCGGUCUGUAUGGAACUUUAAGUCGGGAGGCAGGGCGUUAGGUUAAUACCCUGAAGUUUUGACGUUACCAACAGAAUAAGCACCGGCUAACUCUGUUCCAGCAGCCGCGGUAAUACAGAGGGUGCAAGCGUUAAUCGGAAUUACUGGGCGUAAAGCCCGCGUAGGUGGUUCAGUAAGAUGGGUGUGAAAUCCCCGGGCUUAACGUGGGAACUGCUUUCAUAACUGCUGAGCUAGAGUACGGUAGAGGGUAGUGGAAUUUCCUGUGUAGCGGUGAAAUGCGUAGAUAUAGGAAGGAACACCAGUGGCGAAGGCGACUACCUGGACUGAUACUGACACUGAGGUGCGAAAGCGUGGGGAGCAAACA
rnacentral:rRNA from 1 species